UGGCGACGGGUGAGUAAUGUCUGGGAAACUGCCUGAUGAGGGGGAUAACUACUGGAAACGGUAGCUAAUACCGCAUAACGUCGCAAGACCAAAGAGGGGGACCUUCGGGCCUCUUGCCAUCGGAUGUGCCCAGAUGGGAUUAGCUAGUAGGUGGGGUAACGGCUCACCUAGGCGACGAUCCCUAGCUGGUCUGAGAGGAUGACCAGCCACACUGGAACUGAGACACGGUCCAG
rnacentral:rRNA from 1 species